UACAGAGGGUGCGAGCGUUGUUCGGAAUUAUUGGGCGUAAAGGGCGCGUAGGCGGUGCGGUAAGUCACCUGUGAAAUCUCCUGGCUCAACUGGGAGCUUGCAGGCGAAACUGCCGUGCUGGAGUGUGGGAGAGGGACGUGGAAUUCCGGGUGUAGUGGUGAAAUGCGUAAAGAUCCGGAGGAACCCCAGAGGCGAAGGCGGCGUCCUGGCUCACAACUGACGCUCAGACACGACAGCAUGGGGAGCGAACGGG
rnacentral:rRNA from 1 species